GUUGAACGCUGGCGGCAUGCUUUACACAUGCAAGUCGAACGGUAACAGGCCGCAAGGUGCUGACGAGUGGCGAACGGGUGAGUAAUGCAUCGGAACGUGCCGAGUAGUGGGGGAUAACGCAGCGAAAGUUGUGCUAAUACCGCAUACGUACUGAGGUAGAAAGUGGGGGACCUUCGGGCCUCACGUUAUUCGAGCGGCCGACGUCUGAUUAGCUAGUAGGUGAGGUAAAGGCUCACCUAGGCGACGAUCAGUAGCGGGUCUGAGAGGAUGAUCCGCCACACUGGGACUGAGACACGGCCCAGACUCCUACGGGAGGCAGCAGUGGGGAAUUUUGGACAAUGGGCGCAAGCCUGAUCCAGCCAUGCCGCGUGCGGGAAGAAGGCCUUCGGGUUGUAAACCGCUUUUGGCAGGAACGAAACGGCGCAAGCCAAUACCUUGCGCUAAUGACGGUACCUGCAGAAUAAGCACCAGCUAACUACGUGCCAGCCGCCGCAGUAACAC
rnacentral:rRNA from 1 species